AUUUGCUCCUCUGUUCGAAGUUCUCGCAGGUCAUGAAGCUUUUCAGAGGAUGUGAUUCUCUUUGAAGAAACUGACAUCACCAGGAACUGCGGGGUUCUGACUAGACAGCUCCUUUUCCUGCCACAGUUAUUUGUUUGUCUUCUGAUCAUCUGGCCUAGGACUGUCAGUCAAGAGCAUAAAUGGAGGACUGGGCUGUCCUCAGUUUGCGAGAGUUAAAGACUUCUGAGAAAGCCAAUCCAGUAAUAUGAGCUGGGAAACUACUGAAAGAAGAAUGAGAAACCUGAGCAUCAUUGCCAACGCAGAACCCUAGCCAACACUCUCCUCUCUUCCCUCUGGUCUCCUGUAACCUCCUCCCUCUGGUCCUUCUCCCCUGGCUCAAUUUGCC